rnacentral:lncRNA from 7 species
AGAAAAGAAAAUAUUCUAGUGAUUUAAUUCCUAAAAAGAGUAUUGAAAGACCCUCUGCACACACUUUCUUUCCUUCUUAAUGCGAAAGAUGUUCUGAGGUUUUUUGAAGAGUUGCCUAAGCAGUUUUCAGUUUCAUUACCUCAGAAAUAUUGGGAUUUUUUAAAUGAGAUUUUCUUCCUAGAGUAAGAUCGAGUCACUCUGUCUGGUUAUUAGUGGAUAUUCAUUGCUGUCCUAUUCACGAGUUUACUGUUCCUUAAUAAGUAAGUGAUUAUUUAUCCUCUGUUCCUGCACUGAAUUCCAUAUUAGUUCUGGUCCUGUUGGCUACCAGUAUUUCAGGCUGGACAUGAUUCGUAUUGUUGUGAGCAUUUCAGCUGCUGAGGUGAGAGGGGCCUUAGAAAUGCCUGUGGCAGGGACUAUUCAGUUUGUGCCUCUGCAGCGCUGGCGCUCUCGGUGUGAUAUCUCCUUCCUUCCAUCACCCAGGGCAAAGAUGGACCUAGACCUUGCACCAGCUGCCUAAGCUGUGGUUCCUGGGGAGUCCUCUAGCUUUGUCUUCUGCAAUUCGUUCUGACUGCUGUGCUGCUGGCCAGGCCCACUGGUGCACCCAGCCGGCGCCCCACCUUGAAGAUUCUCUCGCCUACUGCCCUUUAGCUCACUCACUAAUUAAUGCUCUCUGGAUGUUCUUGUUUGAGCAAGGGCUCUCUAGGUCGAUGAUUGUGCCCCCUCUCCACGUUCCUGGUCAGUUCUUCUAAUCGCAUGGGUCUGAUCACCCUGGUGUACUCAGUAAAAUGCAUCUCUCAGUGCAGCUGUCAGCAGUCUGUAAUCCUAUCAUUGCUGUUUUGUCAGGUUUCCCAGGCGCCGGGCCGGUCAUGACUUUCCAGUAUUUUUUAAAUGCUCCUAUGUGUGCAUCAGAUAAAACAGUGGUGCAAUUGAGAGUAUCAGGUGUUGGAGUGUUACUAUUGCCCUUUGGAAAACCCAGACCCUCCGUUCCAUUUCUUGUCAUUUUGAUCUCGUGCUGACGUACUGUGCACCAAGUUUUGGAAGUCAAAGGCUGCUGUAGACUAAAAAGAAUCUUUUCAAAACUGUAUUUAAUAUAAUACUGAUAAAGCUGAGAGAGCCUGCGUGUAUAUGCAGAGAAGCCAGAGGAACGGGACUGUUAUCCAAGGUCAUGUAUUUAUGCAUCCUUUUUCUCAAGGUCUAUCUGCAAACAUUUGAGAGCAAGUUUAAAUGAUGUUGCUGAGCCAAUCUUCCCAUUUCUUUUAUGAAGCAAGGGGUUUGACUGCUCUCAACUAGCAUAAAAC